rnacentral:lncRNA from 1 species
GGGGCGGCCUCUGCUCCUCCUUAUAGCAGAGGGGCGUCACAUGGCUCCGCACGUCAGAGCCACCCCGGGGGACGCGUCGCGCUCAGGCUCGCCCGGCUGCGGCCGCGGCUGCCCGGGACUCCCCGCGACUGGGGCCGGGGCAAAAGGCAGCUCAGGCUUUUUCCCGGGGCCUGAGGCACCCCGCCCCCGCGUGCGGCGCUCGGGGACCCGGAGGCAGCCUGGUCGCCCGAAGCGGCGCAGGAGGCAGGAGCGGCCCGGCCGGGACCGGGUAGGGCCGCGGGGUGACUGCUCCGUGGCCGCCGCUCCGGCCAAACUGCGCUCUGGAGCACACGCAAGGAGGAAGGUUGGCUCGAUAGCUUUUUCAAUGCCUGGUGACGCGCGAUUUAUAACAACGACAGAUUUUAUAACAACAAACGAUCAAAGGCAUCAAAACAUUACAAAAAAUGUGAAAGGGGGUCGGAGUCAGCGGAACCCUCCUGCAGUCGCACGGGAUUUCAAGCCCCCCAGCCCCGCGGCCGCACGCGCCUCUGGGGGAGUCGCUGCAUCACAACCCGCUUGAAACUGGGGCGUUUUAUAGACUUUCACUCGGAGGAAAAUCAGCCGCCAGCUCCAACAGCCCAUUUCAAGAGAAGGCUGCAGUUCAAAAGCCUUUGCAAUAGAUCCCCCUGCAUGAAAAGUUCCAGGCACCACUGCUUCAAGCUGAGGGACUCGGCACUGCGUUUUUCUCCACGCCGGGAACCUUGCACCACACAAGCCUCUGGGAAGGCCCCGCUGCAGGCCGAGGCCCGGAGCGGGCUUUCUCGCGCUGUUUUCUUGGGUGUCAGCCACUCGAGGAAGCCGAGCGGACAUUGCCCCCAGGCUGCUAUUAUAGCCUUUCCGAAGCGUCGACACCCACGUGAAGGAGCCAGCCGGGGACCUGCGUGCCGAGCACGGGCCCUCGUAUCUCAGCGGACUCCCGGGCACCUCCCCUGCCAAGCCUGGCACCGCCGCCGGGCGGCUCCGGCCACGGGAGGAAGGCGAGGGGGGCUCCCGCGGGGCGCUGAGCAGCCUCUGCCCGCACACGAGGCGGGUGUGCUCCAUCGCGGGCUCUCUUCUGUGCUCCUCUUCUGGAUUUCUCAAAGCACCGCUUGUAGAUCACCAGCUUGCUCGCUUGUUUUCCCGCUGGUCCCUGGAGCUCUGCUAAAGCUGAAGGCAGGAGAAAUGACCCGCACCCCCCACGCACCCUGUUGGGCAGGGACAGCCGGCCGGCAGCCGCGGGGCCGUGCCCAGCUGCAGGAGGGCGCGGAGAGGCCGGGAGCCCUGGGAGCGGCGGGCAGCUCAGCUCUCCCAGGCGCGCACCGCCGGCCGCGCCGCAUCUCCCCGCCGCGGCCCGGCGCACGGGACAGCGCCGCCAUCUAGCGGGGAGAGGCCGGAGUGCCCCUCGUAGGCAGCCGGCAGCCCGGCCCGGCUCGGGGGCCGUGAGCGACUUGCCCGGCGCUCCUCCCUUGCCCCGCGCAGCCAGGGGCCUGCGGGCAGGAAGACGCCCGCCCGGGGCUGAACAUCAGGACAGGAUCCGAAGGCGGCCCCUGCUGCGCGCGCAGCUCCGGCUCCUCUACCCGCUUCGCCGCCCCCCCGGCGGUAGCUCCGGGCCGGGCCCUCGCUUGCAGCCAGGCUGCUCCGCUGGCUGGGGGGGUCUGUCUGGAUCCCGGCCGCAGGCACCAGCCGGCCCCGCCCUUCGCUCCGUCCGUUUCUUUAGACGCCAAAAUUGCUGCGGAGAGCAGCGAGGAGCCGGCACCAGCGCGGCUGAAAGGCCUCGCUGAUGAGCGCCCCGUCCCGCGCGAGGAGCCGGCCACGGCUGGGGGCGCCUCCCUGGCUCUUUGCUACCGCGGCUGAUGCUCUUGUGGAGAAGCUGUGGGCAGCAGGCUCAUGCUUUCCCAAUUGCCAGCCGCCCCGCCCCUGUCUCCUGGGCCAAGCGCCGCCCUGCGGGGACAAAUCUGAACGCGACCCAAGUCAUUUCCACUGUCGCUCCUGUCCUGGCCCAUGCAGGCGCUCCUGGCUCGGUGGGAGGACGGGCUUCCUCAUCUAAGCAAAGCUUCCCCCGAUAAUAAGCAUCAACGUGAUCUGCAAUAACUCAGCCUAGCUGAAGCCCUGAGGGUUGGAGUGAGAUUCCCCGAGGUAUAUCAUUUGGCAUGAAGGAUCCCCACGCAAGAUGUUUUAGCCUGAUCUCCUGUGCAGAUUCAUAACCCAAGACAGAAAUAGAAAAACACAGAAAAAUAAUAAGAGUUAAUUUUAUCUACCUAUCCAUUGAUAUAGAUAUAGAGAUAGAUAUGUAUAUAUAUAGGACCUUAUUAUAUAUAUACAUUUAUAUAUCAUAUGUGUAUAUGAUAAUAUAAUAUAUAUUAUAUGUGUGUAACAUGUAUCUCUUAUAUAUAUUUGUAUAUGUAUAAGUGUGUGUAUAUAUGUGUUACCAUUGGGAGGACAGCAUGGGAAAACAAGCCCUGCACUGUUCCUAAAAGUUCAUGUGCUAUCUACAGAGGACUGCAGCUGAAUGACAUCCAAGGCCCAACAUAUUCUUUCCCCCAUAUCCAGUCCCCAGGACUCUUGAAGUGUGAUGGAGUACGAAUUUCUCAGCCAACCUCCACCAUUGGAGUGACUGAAUAAGAAGAGAUUGGUACUCUUUGCUAUCAUGAUCCAGACCAGCUAGGGCAUUCUAAAUUAAAACGAAUGCCUUGAAUUAUACAGGGAAGCAGAAAAUCAGUCAAGCUUCUUGCAUUAGAUGAAUGGAUUCCCACCUGAUCUCAUAUCUGAGUUACUUAGGCUGUUUGCUCUGUGACUUCACUAAGGAUCUCCUGGUCCAAGUCAUAAGCUAAGGUGACACUGAAUGUUGGUGCUGGAUUUAAGGCAUCUAUUUGAUCAUCAUCAUACCAAACCUUUAUGAUGAGACUGGGGUUGUCCUUGCUCUUUAGUAUGAGCAGGUAUAUUUUAGGGAAAAGGUCUCUGGGAAUUCUUUGUUUUUUAUUAGGUCAAAUUAGGACACUACUUUCCCCAUUUGCCUUAGAAACACAAGAAGUUAGAGGCAUAAUUUUAAAGGAUAUUUUAAAGAUAACACUACUAUCUGAAUUUGUAAAAGCUGGGCAUUUUAUAUGUAAGUUCAUGGAAAGACUGCCCCAGAAAGAAUUACAUUUGUAUUCUUAUUUUCAAACUUAGUACACAUAUGUGUACAGGUGCACAUUGCUCUUCACUCCUCAAAAAUUGGCAGAGUGGAGAAUAUGGGAGAAUUAAAAAAGAGGAUGGAAGUGGUAAAGAAAGGGGUAGAAUGUCUCAAGUUUUGGAACUACUUUUCUUGGCACAGAUAGAUGAAUACAUUAUGCACAAUGCAAGAAAUAUUGGAAGGAAGUGAGCCAUGCCUCAUUCAAUGUACCGUAUGUCUUACAAGACACAGCAAAUGAGGCAGAACGCUACAUACUUUCAGAGAUGUGCACGGUAAUCACACACACAUGCAUAUUACAGCAUUCCUCCACUUAAGGCAGCAGAGGCGUAAUGAGCAGCUGGCACCCUGGGCAAACCCUGAGGGACAGCGAGGCACAAUUCUGAGAGUUGGUGGGGGGUAUGGUUUCAAGAGCUGGGGGAUGCUCAGGUUUCAAGAGCAGAGGUGGAUGCACCAAUCUUACUCAUGCUGGGAAAUCCAAAACAGACCCCAACUGAGCUUCUGCUGUUACAUAUUCUGCUAGCUCUGGCUAGGGUCUGUUUUGGAGUCCUCAGCAUGGGUAAGCUGUGGAUCUGCUCUUGGUGCCAGGGCAUGGACUUCAUAGGGCUGGAGGAUAAUUCCAGUGCCACUCCUAACUUGGUGCCCAGGGAAGGAGCCUCUCUGGCCCACCCCUAGUUAUGCCACCAUCAAACAGGAUUUCUCAAAAUAUAGGUUGUAGGUCCUGAACAGAGAAGAGGGAUGGGGAAGAUUUCACAAGGGAUUAGGAGGUGGAACAAAAUUAUUAACAUUUUGUAACAAAAUAUGAAUAAACAAUAACAAAUUAUAAACA